GAAGGGUUGUUUGCAAAACACGAUGCCGUUCAAACCGAUACGCCCUUCA
rnacentral:tRNA from 1 species